CCCCGAAAUCCCAAAAUUUGACAAGAAAUCUUUCUUUUUUUCCCUCCUUUCUUUUCCCAAAAUCGGUUCCCUCCCCCAUCCCUAAAGAAAUCCUAAAAUUUCACUUGAAAUUUCUUCUCUUUUUUUCCCCAUUUUAUUUUUCCCAAACCAUUUCUCCCCUACCCCGAUUCCCUUUAUUUUUCCCCCAAUUUCCUCAAAUCGGCAGCCCUCUGCAUCUUCGUCGGUAGCCCGCUGCUGUAUCUCUGUCAACAUCUGCUGUCGGUAGCCCUCUCUCUCUUUGUUUACUAUCACUAUUUUUACUUGUAAUUUUCAUAUUAAUAACUAUCUCUUCAAAUGGGUUUUCUUUUCAAUUUAUAUGCCAUCGGGAAUAGACCUCUUUAGUCUUCAAAAACACUUUCCCUGAUUGUUAAUUUUACUACAGUUGACAGUGUUCUAAGGGUUCAGACUCGAGAGUGUGCUAUUGGUAUGCUUGAAAAAGCUAUAAAGUAACUUCAUUUGUUCAAUUCUCCUUGUGCUCAGAGAUAAAUCGAUUCUUGUUUUUUUGAAUUUUGCAAUUUGAGAAAACAAAUACUCUUGUUCUUCCCUCUGUUGUUUGCUCCCUCUUGAAUAUUCACUGAAAUCCCAAAAAUCCCAUAUUGUUCUUGUUUUGUUUUGUUUUUGCUCCCUCUGUUGUUUUUGAAUACUCUCAUCAACUUCGUUUAGCUUUCUUUUUAUUUUUGUGUGUGUUUUUAUAUGGCUGCUUACUAUUUCAAUGACAACAUUUUUUUUUCUGGGAAUUGUUAUUCUGGUUUCCUCGAUCCCUUUUCCCGUGAUUUGGGUCCAUGCAAUGGGAUUUCACAAUCCUUGUUUUGGAUAAUGAGAAAAGUGAGCUGGUGGUGAAGUCGCCGGUGAAGGUUGGGAAGAAAAGCGUGGCGGAAGAGAAAGUUAUAGCGGCUUUAAAGAGUCAUAGCGAAGCUGAGAGGAGGAGGAGAGAAAGGAUUAAUGCUCACCUGGACACCCUCCGUACUCUCUUUCUAUAUAGAGAAAAAGUGCGGAUGGUUCAUCUUUUAUCGUUUACUCUCUCUUUGUUUCCUUUUGAAGAGAUUUUUAAGUUGUUUAUCUUUUCUCUUGAUAAUAAGCUCUAACGGCAGAAAAACAAAAGGAGGGAUCUUUUGAAGUGGAAAAAAAGAGAAUAAGAUCAGAUUAACAUCUUUGUUGGUUUUUUUUUUUUUACUUUUUAUUUAUUUGGGUUUGGGAAAUGAAUUGUGAGUUUUUGAUUUGUUCUUCACAAGGAUCUGUUUUAAGCUUUUGGGUUUUGUUUUUGAGUGUUUAGAGAAAGAGAAAUGGCUGGAAGUAAUGAAAUCAACCUCAACGAGUGCAAGGUACAAUAUUUUCUCCUUUUUUUUUUUCGUUUACUCAUUGUGUAUAUUCUUUCUAGAAUUGGGUUGUCAAAGUUGAGUUCUAUAAUGAAUUCUUCAUAUAUUUUCGAGGUUGUUUUGGUUAAUGAAGCUGAGUUUUAGCUUAUUUUUUUGUUAGAGUUGAUGGUCUUAUCAAUCUUAUUUAUUGAACUUUUUUCCAUAUUUGAAUAUCUAGGGUUAUGGGUUGUGGAAAGUUGAUUCUUUUGCUGUUUUUGGGGUAUGGAACAGUUUAGUUUGAUUUUUAAGCUUCAACGUCAUAUAUGAGUUUAUGUAUUAUAUUGUUGUUUUAAUUAUAUAAUUGAAUAAAUAUUGUUAAUUGAGGUGUUAAA